rnacentral:rRNA from 1 species
UACGUAGGGGGCAAGCGUUGUCCGGAAUCAUUGGGCGUAAAGCGCGUGUAGGCGGUCCGGUAAGUCCGCUGUGAAAGUCCAGGGCUCAACCCUGGGAUGCCGGUGGAUACUGUCGGGCUAGAGUACGGAAGAGGCGAGUGGAAUUCCUGGUGUAGCGGUGAAAUGCGCAGAUAUCAGGAGGAACACCAAUGGCGAAGGCAGCUCGCUGGGACGGUACUGACGCUGAGACGCGAAAGCGUGGGGAGCAAACAGG